rnacentral:rRNA from 1 species
AUUGAACGCUGGCGGCAUGCCUUACACAUGCAAGUCGAACGGCAGCGGACCUUCGGGUGCCGGCGAGUGGCGAACGGGUGAGUAAUGCAUCGGAACGUGCCAUUGAGUGGGGGGAUAACGUAGCGAAAGUUACGCUAAUACCGCAUAUUCUGUGAGCAGGAAAGCAGGGGACCGCAAGGCCUUGCGCUCUUUGAGCGGCCGAUGUCAGAUUAGCUAGUUGGUGAGGUAAAGGCUUACCAAGGCGACGAUCUGUAGCGGGUCUGAGAGGAUGAUCCGCCACACUGGAACUGAGACACGGUCCAGACUCCUACGGGAGGCAGCAGUGGGGAAUUUUGGACAAUGGGCGCAAGCCUGAUCCAGCCAUGCCGCGUGAGUGAAGAAGGCCUC